UACGAAGGGGGCGAGCGUUGUUCGGAAUUAUUGGGCGUAAAGGGUGCGUAGGCGGCUUUUUAAGUUUGGUGUGAAAUCUCCCGGCUCAACUGGGAGGGUGCGCCGAAUACUGAGAGGCUAGAGUGCGGGAGAGGAAAGUGGAAUUCCUGGUGUAGCGGUGAAAUGCGUAGAUAUCGGAAGGAACACUAGUGGCGAAAGCGGCUUCCUGGUCCAGCACCGACGUUCAGGCACGAAAGCGUGGGGAGCAAACAGG
rnacentral:rRNA from 1 species